ensembl:lncRNA
UUUGAAGUAUAUAUAUACAUUUUAUUCUCAAUUUACUGCAUUCUCUAUUGCACCAUAUCUGUUUGUUCUUACAUCUAUUAAAACCACAGAUACUAAAUAGAAAAUAAGUCACAAUUGCACAUCAUUCCUCAUAGGUAGUGUUUAUCUGGGUGGUUAAUACCUUAUAUAACUAUUAUGCAGAUACCCUAGGAAAUUUGUGUUAAGAACUGAGUCUCAUCAAGACAGACAGAUCAACUUUUAACGACUGACUUCUUGCUAUAGCUUUUAAUAAGAAAGAGGUCAGGAAAGGGAGGCAAGGCAGCCAGCAAAACAUUUAGAACAGCUCUUUUUAUAAAGAACAUGAGAAAACAUAGGUCAGGAUGCCAAAAUCAGCAACAGGGGAAAGUUUUACACAGUGGUCCCUAUUAAAACGUCUACAAAUGCCUUUGCAAUUACCCUGGCAACACUGUUUCCAGAUAUGAUUCUAAUUACAGGGAAUAGUAUAAGGAAAGUUAAUUGCUAGCCCCAAAAUCAUAGUGACCCACAUGAACUUCACCAUAAAGGGGAUAAUCAAGAUUUAUGUAGGAUAUUUUAGUCAAGCUGUGAGCAGUAAUACUUUUUCAGACCACUUACUGUGGUACUGAAGGUAAAUUUAGGCACCUGUCUUACUAUCUUAUAUUUUGGAAGGGGAUUCUUGGCUUUAUCUCAUGAUCAAUUUCCCUCACUCUGAUCCCUGCACAACUAACAGAGGAAGCAAUGGUGAGGCAUAAGGCACUUACAGAACCAGACUGAACAUGACCCUUUUUUCUGAGUAGAAGUGAGGUUCUCUUGCCAGUGAGCUGGGUACAAAUUUUUGUGUUUGGGAUACACAAUUCAGCCUCAAAACCUUGGCCAAACCACAACUGAGAGACUCCAGUGCUCUGCUUUUGACACCUGACUUUACCAGAAAAUUCAUUACUUGUGCUGGAUGUGGCAUUUCCCUUGGCCUUUUCUCUCCAUCUACAAAACACAAGCUAUAACAAUGUUUUCAUCUACUCAGAAAUGACUCAUCUGUCUUGUCAUAGAAAUCUAAUUACAUUUUAGAUGACCAAAGUUAUCCCACUAGGUCUCCAGUUACAAAGUUAGAUGAUCAUGUGUUUCCUGUUGGUCUCGUGUCACAUCCUUCAGUCCUGUGCAGAUGUCCUUAGGUGUCUGUCAUUAUACAGAUGUGUGCAGCACAAAAUGGGCUUUGAACUUACUUUGAAUAUCUUGAGAAAGUCACCAGAAAGCACAUCUGCUGUUAUCUUAAACAGAAAAAAAAAGAAGAUUCAGUUAAGAAAUAAGGGCAUGAAUAUAUUGAUUUUAUCAGAUCUAACAAUAACUUUGGUAUAAAACUUCUGAUAAUCUGGUCUUCCCGUCCCUGUUCAUUGCAGGGGAGUUGGACUAGAUGGCCUUUUAAGUUCCUUUUCAAAUCAAAAUACAGUAUGAUUCUUUGAACCCACUGGAGGAAGGAAAAGAAGUUAUUGGCUUUCUGUCAGUAAAGAAAACUAUGGUCUUCAGUACUGAGAUAUAGGUAAGCAGUAGUCCAACUUACUUAAAGAUGUCAUGGAUUCCCUUCUGAUGAAAUUACUGGAGAAUUCUUAGGGAAAUACCAGGAAAAGUAUGAAUAUCCUCAGUCAGUUAUGUGAGUUAUCUUCAAUACAUACAUUGCUGGAACUUCUUUGGUUACAAAUCAAAUACCUCAGGGAUGCUCAAAUGACUUUUUCCUGCAAAAACACAGCUUAUUUUGCCCUGUUCAGUCAAAACUCCAGCUGUGUAUAUUGUUCUAUCUUUGCAGGUGCUGAUCCCCAGCUGCUCAUGAGUUGCAAGUCCUUUUAGGCGAUGGUCUUGUAUUUGAAUGACUGGCUAUGAAGGCUUUAAAUUGCAGCUCAAAAAGCCCUCUCAUAAGUGACACUGGACAACAAUCUCUGAAAGGGAAAGAAAUCUUUGAGAAUUUGGAAAGGGAUAACCUUAACGGUUAUUGCUACCUUACUCAGCGCUUAGCACUGGCUUUAAACAUCAUUUCAUCCAAGCUGGGCUGUCAAACAUGGCACAGGAACCAGAGGAGAGCUAUGCAUUUCUCAUACUUCAGGUGGAGAUCAGACAAGAGAACCCUAUGGUAUUUUCAGUUGGAAUAAAUGCUUUGUGUUAAGGGAAUUUUUCCUUCAGGCCCAAAUUCAUUUUGAAAAUGUGUGUGCCCAUAUAUAGGGAGCAACGUGUGGGACAGUGUGAAAACUGGUGUCAUCGUCUGUGGAAAUCUUGAGCUUCAAUAUGCAGAAACUUCAUUUUUGAUGCUCAGGAGGGUCCCAUUGUUUUCCAUUGCCCUAUUGCUUCCCUGCUAGCUUCUGUGACGAACAGUGCUCUUAAUUUCACUGACUGUACUGCUAAAUGAAACGAGAUCUUACACAACCAUUUCCCAUGCAGACAUUUGCAUGCGUUCCCGUAACACUUGAGUUUGAAUCUGCAAGCUGAAACUACCCCGAGUUCUGCAUUACUCAGUUAAUCAUUUGGUGUAUGUGGUUAACAUUUCUCGGAAGUUCUGCAGUAUCUCACAAGAAACACACUUCUAAGCUGUACCUCCUUAACACUGAGUAAAUUGCCUUAAGCAAUUGCCUAGCAUUAAAACAGACACUGAUGUAGAGCCUCAGAUGAUGUUUUGUUUCAGAGCUGGGACAGGUUAAGAGUACACAUGACUUUUACUGUGGAUUAAUGAGAAGGGGUAAGUUGAUAAAGUGUAAUCUGAUUAAGAACAUGAGCACUCACAGUCCAGAAAUCUUUCUCAGUGCAUCACUUUGUUCCCUCUACUGCAAACUUAAAGCCAAGUGCAACACAGUGCUGCAGCACUUGGUCUGGAGCAUGUGAUGAAGUAAACCCUGUGAACCCACUUACAGCUUGCUGAGUUUUAUGUUGUCCUCCAGCGUUUUGUUUCCACAUUUUACUUCUUCAUUUUUGGAGUGGAAAACAGCUCUGAAAGCACUUUUCAAGAAAGCAACGUCAAUGAAAAGCCCAACUGUUUCCAAACAGGUUGCAAACACCAGUCGUCUUCUUUGAAGAGAAUUGGGAACUGAAAUCAGGGUCAAAGGAUGAUGAAUAACAUCUUUGUGCUGAGCAGAGAGACGAAAGGGAAGAUAUUUUCUUUCUUUAUGUUUUGAUGUCAAUUAACUCAGCUGCUUUCCAUGUCUGCUUUUCCUUUUCAGGCCACUCUAACCUUUCUUCUCUCCUUAAUAUAAGGGCUAUAUUUCUGUCUCCUAAUGAAUAGCUGCAGCAACAGCAGAUGGCCUGAUGAUGUGGUUUGGGUUCUGUGCUUGAGGAUCCACUCUGUGCUUUGGAAACAGCUGAAUUUUGACAGCCAUUUGGACACCAUGGUCUGAGGGAACCAGUGAACCAUUUAAAAGCACAGCAUCCCCUAAUUUAGCAGUUAAAAUCGUGGGAACAGGAAACACUGCUGAAGUAGCAACUGGAGAUAAAGAUAUGCUUUCAGGAAGUACCCCACUGGAGGGUACAUUCUUGGCUUUUUUUUUUUUUUUUUGGUCACCACCACAGCUCAGGAAAGCAGGAUUAGAUGAAAUAGUCUGCCCUAGGGAAGCCCGAGCAGCUCUUGCUGUGGCAUACUGUCAGUUGUGUUGGUGUGGCACCUAAUGAGGAAAUAAUUGCAUGUAUCCUGGUGUCCAGAAAUAGUCUCUGAUGGGGUUGUCACAUGGCAAAUCAGCCUGUAGCUGCUGGGACAUCAGUCCAGAUGUGAAGAAGCUGUGUUGGUUCCAGCAGCUAACUUUACAAAUAAAUGUAGCAAAAAUGGUCUUGGGAGGACAAGGUUUUUGUUGGCUCUGCUAAACCUAAAGGCAUCCCUGUAGGCAGGUCAGGCUUAGCCAUCAUUAUGGCAACCUUGGGUCUCACCCAAAGCCUAUGAAGUCAAAGAGAAUCUAUCCAGUGAUUCCAGCAAGGCUUGGAUCUGUCGCACUGGGGACAGAACAGAAAAUUGUUUUCCUCCAGUUCUCCCGCGUAGAACAAUUUUGGAGCUCUUGUGUCUUUCAUUUUUCUCUUUCCAGCCCCUCUCUCUCUCUUGCCCUCUAAUAUUAUUUCUCUCUCUCUUCUUUGGCAGCAAACUGCUCUGGAAAAGUCAGAGGAGAAACAUGAUCAGGCUGUUUUCUUCACUCGCAUGCCGCCCUCGGCAUUGUCUCGGGUAACCGGGCUGCUGUUUGUUAACCAUCAUUACCUAUUUCAAGUGGAAUUGUUAUCUGGAGCUCCAGGUUCAUCAGGCAAACUGGUUCAGUGUAGCAAAAAUACUGCUUUUUAUUUGUUUAUUCUGUUUUUUAUUGCUCUUUUACAGGCAAUGUCCAGGCCCAAGUCACUGCAGAUGUCCAACCAAAGUCCGUCAUUAGAGGCACUCUGUGGGGCUGCAACAUAUAGAAUAUCUGAAAUAGCUCUGGCAUAUAUGACACAGGACCUACAAACCGCAGUCUUCUGGGCUGGCAGCUGCGAUCCAAGCAGGGUACCUUGGGUCCUUUCAGAUGGCACCAGGCACCUCUGCUUAAGUAACAGACCUCCCUCUCUUAACUCACAUUGCAGACAUGGACAUUGUGGCUACUUUUUUUUUUUCUUUCUUUUUUAAAUAAUUUAUUUCAAAUAUGAGAAUCUGGAGCUAAAUGCAGCCUGAGGUGUCACUGUGAGAAGCUCAGCAUUGACUCUGUGCCCUUACUUGAUCUCUGGCCUUGUUUCUUGUGUACUUCUAGAAGGGAUGCCAAGCAGUGAGCAAAUGUUCUAAAAUAAUAUUCCUACCUAUCAAAAACAGCACUUCUGAGAUGUCAUUUUAAAUAGUAAAGGAUUCUUGAAAUGAAAAAGUCCAUGUAUUCCUGAAUAAAAUCAACAACUAGAACAACUCUGUCACCAGAGACCCAUGAGUGAAGCUUUCUUUCACUUUGGAUUUUAAAGACAGUAAAUUUAUGGUCAUACUUCACUACAACAGAACAUUAGAAGAAUAUUACAUUUGUUCUGGCCCAGUGCUGAAGCAUGAUGUCACUUCAAUAAAAUCAUGGUUUGCUGAUGUCCUGGAAUCUCUAAGAUUGUUUAUAGUUCCCAGAUGAUAUUCCCUGCAAAGGUGUUUUCUGUUUCAUUUUGGUCUGGUUUUGUUUUCAGUUUGGACUUUUCACAUUCUAGAGGCAUGCUUUUUAAAAUGAAAAAGGUAUUAUAUUCUCAAACUCAGAAGAAACCCUUUGUUUAGCAAAUACCCCUUGAUCAGGACCUUGCAUAACAAUGAACAUGUUGAGUGGAUCCAUAGAAAACCGUAUAAGUCUGAGGCUAAAUAUAUCCAUGCUGGAAUAAAUAACACUUGAUGAUUGUUUGGGCUCAUUAGCAGGCAGAAGAGUAACCCAAUGGGAAAUUCAUCUUUUUCAAGCAUUGUUUCCCUCAUCAGGUGCUACGUUCUGGAUAUGUAAAAGUCCUUGGAGUAUACAGUAGAAGCUUAAAUAAAAUAAAAUAAAAUAAAAUAAAAUAAAAUAAAAUAAAAUAAAAUAAAAUAAAACAAAUAAUAUUUUUCUUAGUUAUGAUAUUACAAAUGCUAAGUCCAGUUAUGUUCUGACAGUGCCCUAAACACUUUUCUGGUACUGUUUAGAGACAGGUCACAGGCACAUCUGUUGGAAAUAACUAUCCUGCCUCAGAGAACAGCUGGAUAAAAUGAUUUUACAAGGUCCAUUCCAACUCCAAAAUUCUG